AAGGUUUCAUAGGGCUUUGCGAGCGUAUAUUAGAAAUUUGAAAUCGGAGUCUAAGAAUUUUAUUCAACUCUUAUAUUUACUAGUGUAUCUCCCGCGCGAUGCGCAGUGAUUGUGAACUACACAUAUAAUAUAUUUACUUUGUUCAUAAAAUAUGACAUUUUUUAUGGGCACAAUUUUUGAUAAAAUGGACGGUAAUUUUAUAUAGUGAGAAAAAGGAUCCUACAAUUAUAAGAAAUGCAUGAUCGAGAUUAAUGUUUUUGUAAAUAAAGGAUAUUUGUAAGAAUAAAAAAUGAAGAAAAGAUGUGUGACCAUAUCUUAUAAAACCGGUUUAUAAAAAACUUUUAUAAAAGAUACGGUGGGCCUUUAUAAAACGUAGUAAAUUGAAACAUAAUUAUCCAUAUAGUAAAAAAAAAAAAAAAAAAAAAAUUUUUCUGGAGAACUUAAAUUUUUUAAGCAAUGCAUUAAUAGAUAUUUUAGAAUAUUAAUUAUUUAAAAAAAUAUUCAUUGUUCUAUUUUUAUAUAGAGUAAAAUAAUAGUAUUUUUUAUUAUUAUAAUAUGUGGCAUUUAUAACUACUUUCAAAUUAAAUAUUAUAAUUAAUAAUAAAAUCUAGUAAUAUAUAUAUAUAUAUAUAAUAUGAAAAAUAUAAAAAAAGUAAAUUAUUAAAAAUAAAAAAAUAGUUGUUUCAUUCAAAUAAUAUGCUGAAAUUUAAAAUAUUAUAAUAUAUUCAUUUUAAAUUCAAUUUAUACACAUCAUAUAGCAAAAAGAUAGAAUAGAAUAGAAAUGUUUUUUUUUUUUUUUAUGUUCAUAACAUAUUUGUUUUGAAAAUAUCUUUUAUGCGUUUUAUAUCAAAUUAAAGGUAUUUUUAUAAACUUUUUAAAGUAAGAUGCAUACUGUGUGCUUUUUUAGAAUAACAUUUUAAGAGAAUUGGAAAACAUAUGUUUAGAUUUAAAAAAAGUAAUCGAAUGAAAAAAAUAUGUUACUAAAAGCUGUCAAUAAAGCACUAAUUAAAAAGGAAAUUGAAUGAAAAAAAACGGUUACUUCUAAACAAAAUGCAGUCAGCAUUUGAUCGAUCGUGUGCCUUAUAAAAUUUUCACUUCAAUUCCAAUUAUGUCCUUCAAAUUGAAAGAAAUUACAUUUACUUUGCUUUUUAUAUAUAUAAAGAUAUUGCGAAAGAUUAAGGCACAUACAGACGUCAACAUAAUAUAUUUCUGCAAAGAUGAUUCAGCCAAUUAAGGCAAGAAAUCAUACAAACUACAGUCUACAGUUCGUUUCGAUAUCAAAGUUACAACAGGCCAACAACACCACCUUAGUUGCUUCACAUGUAGGAUUUCAUUCGAGGCCUUACCAGAGACUGGCCGCCAUCGACGAAUAUGGUUGUUCCAGUCAUGUAGCGUGCUCCGUCGCUUAUCAGAUAGAUAACCGUCGAUGACAAAUCGUUUUCAACGUCAAGCCAUCGGCGUAGUGGAUUAGCUUCAUUCACCAAUUUCACUGCCCUCUCCUUCCGUACUGACACAGGGAACUCGUCUUCAAGAUGCAAGCCACGAGCUAUCGCAUUAACCCUUAUCUGAUGCUUCCCAAUCUCCAUUGCCGAUGUCUGCCCAGNUCACAUAGAUUUAGUGUAAUAUCUAAUGAAUAAUAUAUUCUUAUAAAUAUAUAAUACUGUAAAAUAACCUUAAAAUAAAAUAUGCAAUAAAUUAAAUAGAAUUCUAAUGCCAUAAGAUUUUGGAAUCCCCUUUAUCGUUGGUUUAAUUGAUGAACUUCUUUUAGGGAAAAACGAAUUGUGAUGUAUAAAUACCAAUUAUAUUCGGGAUUUAUUUAGAAAUUGUAAUUAGAUUAGAUGAGGGAAACAUCAAUAUUGGACCUAAGUAGAAGAAAUUUUUGAUCUAAUUAAUUUGACAACGGUUUUAUGUUUAUAUUUGGUUUUAUAAGUAUAAAAUAUUAUUUAUAGAUUUGGGUGACAAAUAAAUAUAUAUUAAAUAGAUUUAUUUUAUAAAUAUAAAAUACAAAAUAAAUAAUAGGGGUAAAAUAGGCAAUCCACAAGUUGUCCAAUAGAAUGAAAAAAUAUGUUACUAAAAGUAUAAAUAAAGCACUAAUUAAAAAAGAAGCCUAAGAAAAAAACUUCUCCUAAACAAAAUGCAGUCAGCAUUUGAUCGAUCGUGUGCCUUAUAAAAUUUUCACUUCAAUUCCAAUUAUGUCCUUCAAAUUGAAAGAAAUUACAUUUACUUUGCUUUUUAUAUAUAUAAAGAUAUUGCGAAAGAUUAAGGACGACAUACAGGACGUCGAACAUAAUAUAUUUCUGCAAAGAUGAUUCAGCCAAUUAAGGCAAGAAAUCAUACAAACUACAGUCUACAGUUCGUUUCGAUAUCAAAGUUACAACAGGCCAACAACACCACCUUAGUUGCUUCACAUGUAGGAUUUCAUUCGAGGCCUU
rnacentral:lncRNA from 1 species